CUACAAUGUAGUAUUAAUAAUGUAUGAACAUUGGGCAUCUAGGUUUGAAGUUUUAAGAUUUAGGUAAUUUUUUGGUAAAGUUAAAUAUUAAGUAUUGAGUAUUUAGUUUAGGGUGAGUAGGUGGUUUUUGAGAAGAGCCUUAAAUUGGUGUUCAGACCUGGUUACUUUAGUAUUUAGUAUUUAGUCGCCUCUUAUGGCAUGCAUGGCUUAUGGAAGAUGAAUCCUGUUCCACUUCCCUGUUAAAAAUUUGUAAACAUAAUAGUCAUUGUUAAAAUAAGAAAUCUGAUACAGAGUGGGAGUUGUCACAGUUGCUUAUAAAAGUACUGUAAUUUUAAUAUGCAUUUCUUCUAACAGGUACACCAAAGAUCAAGUCUUUGAGCAGUUUAAAACCCUACUUACCCAGUAUAAUACCCGAAAGACUAAACCAUGGAUGGCUCCAGCUACAAGCCGUAAGAUCCACAAUCCUGUUGCUGCUCCAUACUGGGGUAAAUUACAUAAGGUUCUUGAACUUCGAAAAAUGAUGUCAUUAAGUUGGACCACAGGAGUGAAGCCACUUACAUUACAAGCUCAGAAGAUUGUAUUUUGUGUGGCUUAUCAGAAAGCUGAAGAGCUUUAAAAAAAAAAUGGCAGCAAGAGAACAUGCGAGACUGAUAGCACAAAUCAUUGAA